rnacentral:rRNA from 1 species
CGAACGGGUGAGUAACACGUGAGUAACCUGCCCUUGACUUUGGGAUAACUUCAGGAAACCGGAGCUAAUACCGGAUAAUAUAUUGAACCGCAUGGUUCAAUAGUGAAAGACGGUUUUGCUGUCACUUAUAGAUGGAUCCGCGCCGCAUUAGCUAGUUGGUAAGGUAACGGCUUACCAAGGCAACGAUGCGUAGCCGACCUGAGAGGGUGAUCGGCCACACUGGAACUGAGACACGGUCCAG